rnacentral:lncRNA from 1 species
ACUGAGUGAAUAUAUCUGAUAGUCCUGAAUCUAAAGAACUAUCUAAGUUCCUUUAUUGAGACUGAGACUAAGACUAUGGGCAGUAGUCAUCUAACUGAGAUGCCCCUUUUUUGUAUAAAGUUGGGGUCCAAUCUGUAACCUCAAUUAGAAGGGUGUCAAUACCGCACCAUUAUUAAAGACAAGCUGUGAGUGACCCUCAUCUGGCAGUGUCCCCAUAAGAGAAUGGUGGGACCCUCAUCUGGCAGUGUUAAUCUACCUCAUCAACCCUUAACUAUCAAUGUUGAUGUCUCAGCCUAUGCUGGAUACAUAGUUCUGGAGCACAAGGAUUGCUUCUAAUAAUCACACCC